rnacentral:rRNA from 1 species
UACGAGGGGUGCAAACGUUAUUCGGAAUCAUUGGGCGUAAAGGGUGCGUAGACGGCAAAAUAAGUCAGUUAUUAAAUUUUCUAGCUCAACUAGAAACCUGUGGCUGAUACUAAUUUGCUUGAGUGUGGAAGAGAGAAGCGGAAUUCUCGGAGUAGCGGUAAAAUGCGUAGAUCUCGAGAGGAGCACCGAUGGCGAAGGCAGCUUCUUGGUCCAUUUCUGACGUUGAGGCACGAAAGCGUGGGGAGCAAACAGG